UGGGGAAUAUUGGACAAUGGGCGAAAGCCUGAUCCAGCCAUGCCGCGUGUGUGAAGAAGGCCUUUUGGUUGUAAAGCACUUUAAGCGAGGAGGAGGCUACUAGUACUAAUACUACUGGAUAGUGGACGUUACUCGCAGAAUAAGCACCGGCUAACUCUGUGCCAGCAGCCGCGGUAAUACAGAGGGUGCGAGCGUUAAUCGGAUUUACUGGGCGUAAAGCGUGCGUAGGCGGCUGAUUAAGUCGGAUGUGAAAUCCCCGAGCUUAACUUGGGAAUUGCAUUCGAUACUGGUUAGCUAGAGUGUGGGAGAGGAUGGUAGAAUUCCAGGUGUAGCGGUGAAAUGCGUAGAGAUCUGGAGGAAUACCGAUGGCGAAGGCAGCCAUCUGGCCUAACACUGACGCUGAGGUACGAAAGCAUGGGGAGCAAACAGG
rnacentral:rRNA from 1 species